rnacentral:tRNA from 1 species
UGAGGGGUCGUCUAACGGUAGGAUGACAGGCUCUGGACCUGUAGAUUGAGGUUCGAACCCUCGCCCCUCAG